GGAAGGAUCAUUCUUGUAUACCAGGUCGAGCGUAAGCUUGGCCUAACCAUGUGUGAAUCAGUGUUCUUUUUCCCGGCGGGAUCUUUGGUGUUGACUCUGGGCUUUGCCUGGAAGAGCCUUAGUGACGGCUGGGGUAUUGCCUCGCAAGAGGUCAACAUGUUAAUAGCAGGGAACUCAAAAAGUAACAAUUACAACUUUAAACGAUGGAUCUCUUGGCUCUCACACCGAUGAAGAACGCAGCAAACUGCGAUAAGCAAUGCGAAACGCAGUUGUUCGUGAGUCAUCCGGUAUUCGAACGCACAUGGCAGGUCCUCGGACCUACGCCUGGUUGAGGGUCUUUAUUACUCCAUUUCUAUGGGAUGUGAGUGGGCAUUUGGCUCACUUCAAAGGCAGGGUAACUUGUACCGUAACCGUUUGGUGGAUAACCUAGCGGGCAUUGGUAACAAGCGAUGGCUGGCAAGCAGUUAUCAUUUCAAAUUUGACCUCAACUCAGACGAGACUACCCGCUGAACUUAAGCAUAUCAAUAAGCGGAGGAAAAGACACCAACAGGGAUUCCCUUAGUAACGGCGAGUGAAAAGGGAGAAGCGCAACAUGGGAAUCGUGCCGCAAGGUACGAGUUGUAGGGUUGCAUUGUUUGCCUGGGAUGAAGCGGCGUGUAAGUCUCUUGGAAUAGAGCAGCAUAGAGGGUGAUACUCCCGUAACGCGCUGCAGAGUCUGUGAUGGCAAGCAAUAGGCGAGUCGAGUUGUUUGGGAAUGCAGCUCCAAAGGGUGGUAAACUCCAUCCAACGCUAAAUACUGGUGAGAGACCGAUAGCAAACAAGUACCGUGAGGGAAAGAUGAAAAGCACCUUGAAAAGGGCGUUAAAAGAAUGUGAAAUCGUUUAGGGGGAAGCGUUGCCAGCGAGUGCAGUAUAACGCAGAUCAUGCACUCUAUCAGGGUGCUGCACUGUGUGUUGUACUGGUCCACAUCAGUUUUGGCUGCUGGAUAAUCUCUCUGGAAGGUAGCGUCCUCGGACGUGUUAAGCCAGGGAGGGCGCAGUGGCUGGGACUGAGGACCGCCGUGCACGUUUGCGGGGCCUCUUAUCUCUGUCUUUCUGCCAGCAGGUGCAUUUUUAAUGAGCUUGUUGAGUAGAUUGUCACCGGUGGGAGUGAUCGCCUAUGCACGAAGGAUGUGGGCGAAAUCGCUUGUAGCGACCCGUCUUGGAGUUUCGAGACAAAAAGUGACCAGAGAUGGUUAGCUAGUAGGUACGCCUGCAACACCGUCAAAUUGCGGGAACACCCUUAUGGGUUGACUACCAAGCUAGGGUUGAAAGACUUUAGUGGCCAGGUUAAUGACCUCGGGUACGGUAAUAACGUCAACACUUGGGCAAUCCGCAGCCAAUUCCUAAGGCCUCACGGCUAUGGAGGCAGUUCAGAGACUAGAUGUCGGUGGGUAACAUAGUUACUUAAGAUAUAGUCCGUCCCGCACUGAGAGGUGUUCGUCAAUAUAAUUGACAUGGGAUAAUCGGAAACACGGACCAAGGAGUCUAAUUGAUGUGCGAGUGGUAAGGUGGCAAACCUUAGCGCGUAAUGAAAGUAACAGGUACGACCUUCGGGCAGUAUCGGCCGGACGAGAUCUACGGUGAUCGUCCUGAGCAAGAGCAUAUCGACUAGGACCCGAAAGAUGGUGAUCUAUGGCUGCGUAGGAUGAAGCCGGGGGAAACUCCGGUGGAAGUCCGCAGCGGUUCUGACGUGCAAAUCGAUCGUCGAACGUGGCUAUAGGGGCGAAAGACUAAUCGAACCAUCUAGUAUUCAGUUGCUAGAAACAGUAGGCCCAUGCCUGCUAGUCAAGUAGUCAUCUUUUGAUGGGAGACUACUGGCGAGGUAACCUGGUACGAGGAAGGUCUACGGACUAAUCUCGUGGUGAGCCUAGGCCACCGUAACGCACGCAAAGGUACCGGUCUUAAUAGACUCAAGGAACGUGCUAGUCCCAUACGAAAGUAUGCCUACUGCAAUAGGACCCAUCAUCCGAAGGCAGUGGAAACAAUAUUGAAAGAGAAUAUAUUGUUGGUAGAAUGAGCUGGUUCCUGC
rnacentral:misc_RNA from 1 species